rnacentral:lncRNA from 1 species
AGAGAACUCUGGUGAUUCUCAGGAGGGAGAGUCCACCUCCAGUCCAUUUGUGCUGCGAUGAGGAGACUUUGUAGUAAAGAUGUUUUUCUAAGGAAAUUUUUCACCUUGGGGAUGGAUCAACGUUUUGGUAAGUAAUUAGAUUGUACAAAUUUAGUAUAUCACCUUUAAGAAAAAGUAUACAAUGGUGGUUAUGAAUUAAAUAUUUAUUUUGAAUUUUUAAAAAAUCUCAACAAAUUGCACUUUAAAAAUAUAUCAUAUACCAUAAACAUCACAUAAUCCAGAAAAACAAUGUAAUAUUUACAAUUAAUGAAUUGCUUUGGCACACCUCUUUAAUAUUAUCUUAUAUUAUGGCUAUGUACUCCUGACUUUUCUCUUCAUGUGAUAAUAGCUUUUAAAAAUAAUUUUUCAUGAAGAAAAUAGAAAGUAAUUCAGUCUGCUACUAUGUUUGAUUGAAAUUUAUUUCUUAUUAUUGAUGAUUGGGAUGAAUCAGACACUCAACUUCUCACAGAAAUUUUCUGUAAUAUUGUUAAAUAUUUGUGUUUUAUAGAAGGAAUUCUGAUUAAUUCUAUUCUCAUAACUAUU